UAAGACUUGCAAUUUGCAAUUCAUCCAUUCCAGAAGUAGAAAGUUGGGGAAGCGACUUCAUACCUUCUCCAGCGUUUGCAGAAUCACCUCUCCCCAUAAAGGUAGAUGUGUGAAGCAUAUGUACCCCGUCAGAGCUAGAAGCAUCACUUCUUUGGUGGUUAUCACCGUGAUGAUUCCUAAGACUUGCAGUUUGCAAUUCAUCCUUCCCAGAAGUAGAAAGUUGGGGGAGUGACUUCAUACCUUCUCCAGCAAUUGUGGAAUCAUCUCUCUCCAUGAAGCUAGAUGUUUGAAGCAUAUGUACCCCGUCAGAGCUAGAAGGAUCACUUUUUUGGCAGUCAUCUACGUGAUGAUUCCUAAGACUUGCAGUUUGCAAUUCAUCCACUCCAGAAGUAGAAAGUUGUGGAAGCGACUUCGUACCUUC
rnacentral:lncRNA from 1 species